GAGUGAUCUAAAGAAAAGAUAUUUCACAAAUUUAUCUACUGAUUGGAAGAGGAUCUAUGAGCUUGAUAAGAGAGUUCCUCCAUUUAAUUGGAUGACUCUCAUUAUCGAGUGGGAGGGUGAGAAGAAGAUCAAAGCUAUACGAUCACUUUUUAGGAGUUACUUCUUAUGCUCAGAUCGAGCAUAAGUAUUUGAGCGAAAACCCGGACGUUUUGACUAUGCCCCCCGACUCUUCUGGCUAAAAGAGCUUAUACACCACCCCAGGGCUAUAAAAAUGUAGAUGGAAAUGACAAAAAGGUGGAGAAAAUUAAUGAAUUGAACGCGGCGCUGGAAGCUUCUCAAAACGAUGUCUUCACCCGUGUCACGCAGUCUCGAAGUACAGAGGACACUCCUGUAGAGCCUAACCGCAUGACCAGAGACGAGUGGAUGGAAGUUGUCGAUGGAGCUUACGGUUUACACUCAAGAAAGAAAGGAAGAGUGCCUCUGUCAAGUACUAGAGUUAAGACACUCACCACCACCAAUAAGCCUAGCAGCCAAUCUGUGACAUCGACGCGACACGAUGACACGUCAUAUG